rnacentral:lncRNA from 1 species
UAUUUUUCUUUUUUGUUAUCUAUCAUACGAUUGGUUGUAUUUGUGGAUGUUUCAAACAGGAAGUCUUAUCUAUGACUAAAAGUCAGUCUGAUGACGGAAUCAUUUCCGGACUCCUUUUUUUUGGUUUUUCUCCCAAAAUAACUCAAUCUGAAUAAUCAUAAGAAUGGAUGACAAAUGCGACUAUGCAUGUUACCUAUAGGACACAGAGGCAUGAUGAUUGAUUUAUUGUGGAAGGAAGAGAAGCGACACCCAAAAUGAGGUCUUCUCGUUUAAUAGUAUAGAU